rnacentral:lncRNA from 1 species
AUUGGGUCCUCUAGGGGAUUUCUCAACGGAACGUGGUGUUACAGAACCGAGAGUGCAGGGCGGCCGCCACCAUGAGACUCCACCAGUGUUUGCAAUUGGAGGCUAGAAUCAAGUCACGGAGGUUCGCUGGCGGUUGUGGAGUCUAAUUCAUGUUCCAAUUGAGCUCGGGAACGACCGGUUGAUGGCCAUGGCCAUCGGGGAACGCGAGAGAAAGGGGCAGAGAGAGAGAGAAGCUCCGCCGCUAGGGAGCGUGAUGGCCAUCACCGUCGCCCUGUGCCUUGGAUGUUGCCCGGCACCCACGGAUGGGUCAGGACCACUCGCCGGUGCGUGUGGGUGCUCAUUGGGGCUUCGGCGGGCUAGGAGCGCUCGCUGGGGGUGGUGGAAUUCCUCGCCGGAGAGGGAGUUGCGCCGCGGGACCGCCUGCUACCGUGGCCAUGACAACCUGUGCCACAAUCCGCGGUAUGUUUAACUCCCUUGUGUUCUCCAUACAAUUCUCCACAUGUGCGCGCCCUAGAUCGGAAAUGAGUCACGGGGAAUCGGAAUCUGGUGAUCUCCUAUGAUGGCGCGCCGCCGUGGGCCGUGGUGACGGGGAGCUGUACCGCUGUGGCCAGCUGCGGUGUAGGAGAAGAAUGCGGCUCGUCCGUUGGUUGAUGAGCGCCUAGGAUUAGAUUUGGCAUAGGAUGGCCCUCGUCCGUCGAUCAUGUAGCAAACGACCGCGAUUAGAUGUGUGUACCCCUUCACGCAUGAUUAAAUCCUGGCCGCUAACUCUAGAUCGUGCGGUCGGGUUUUGAUCCUGUUUUUAUAACACGAGGUGCCGUUGGAUUCAGAUCCGAGGGCGAUCGUGAGAUAUCGGUUUGUUUUGGGCAGAAGUCUAAUCUCGCGCGUCUGUGUUUGAUCGAACGGUCCCAAUUGCCAGAUACCCCUUCGGAUAGCGAUUUUGCAAAAGAGACCCCCUACUAUACUAGUAUCAACCCGCAGUCCACCUGGUGGGUCGUCUGAGUCUUAGGAUUAGUUACACCUAGGCCCCUGAGUUUUCUGGAAAAUGAGGCCGAGUCCAGAGAUGUUUAAAAACAGAGAAAUAUUUAUAGAAAUUCAUUUUUAAUACAAAAACAAAUCUAGAAACUUGUAAAAUUCAUAGAAAUUCCAUUUUUGAUCUAAAUUGAACCAUUCCAAUUUCUAAAAUUUUGUAAUAAUAUUCUCUAUCACUUAAGAGUCUCUGUUUUGUCAUAAAAACAGUAAGAAAAUUAAUUUCUCAUUUAAUCCUAUUUCAAUCACAUUAAAUCUUAGGAAAUUCAUAACUUGAAAUCUAUAACUCCAAAUUUAAUGAUUCCAGUUCCUAUGAUCUCAUUUGAAUGUGUAGAUUUUUACUGUAUAUUUUAUUCAUCUGUUUGGUGUGAUGUUGAUUUUGGCUAUACUAUGUAUGUAUUGUGUUGAUGCGAAUAGACGAGCAAACCACUGUGGAUUCUGAGGUUCAACAAGUAGAGAUAGCUGAGCAGGAGCUCACUGAAGGCAAGUUGUGCCCUUGAUCACUUACUUUCCCAGCCAUGUUCUUAUUAAUUUUAAUGAUCUGCAUAGGUUAAUUUUGAUGGGAGCCAUUAUGUUACCCCAGUUUUGAUUACCUCUAUACCUUGUUCACCCCUGAAACAUUUUUGGGUAGUACUUGCUAUUGCUUUAUGUGGAUUGGGUAUGGAGAUACACUAUUCAUGAUUAUUCUGUUAUUAUCUUGUUAUUAUUAUUGUUCAUGUUAAGAUCAUUAAAUUAAUGGGAACAUGGAGCGACCACCCGGGAAAACAGUGCUACCACAAGGGUUUAAUGGGACGCCCUUGGCUGAUUAACUAGGAAAGCUAGUGGAAGACUACCUUACCCGGAAGGGGCAAGGGCAGUAGGGGAGAGGUCAGUGCGGGGAGGUCCCUGGUUGAUUUUGCUGCGAUGGCUAUCAGCCAGGAACCCUUUACUGGAUCUUCCCAUAAACUGUAGCGGGUUUUCGGAAGCUAGUGGAACUUUGUAAAGGCCUCGUAGUGGAUCCCUAGCCAUUCACCUCGGUAGUGUCUAAGGGCCUUGCAAACCCAGGCGACAUGGGAUACACGACUUGUGGGUAAAGAUGCGCAACCUCUGCAGAGUGUAAAACUAGUAUACUAGUCGUGCUCACGGUCAAGAGCGGCUCGGACCCUCACAUGAUUAAAUUAUGGAACUUAAACUCAAUCUGUCAUUUCAUUGCAUCUGGGAUUAUUUCAUUGUUACUUUUAUUAUUUCUAAGGUUUGGUAUUUACUUACACUUAGUAAUUGCUAAUAAAAUUUUGACCAACUUCUAAAAGCAAUGCUCAGCCUCAGCCCUUACUUUGUUGAUCAGCCUUACACUUCAUGAACUCCCACCUUUGGUGAGUUCAUGCCACAUUAUUCCCCACGACUUGUUGAGCUAUGAUCGUAUGUGAGCUCACUCUUGCUGUCUCACACCCCCCACAGGAGAAGAACAGGUGGUCGAAGAGGAGCCGCCUAGCACCGAGGAGUUCGAUCUGAUCUAGGUGGCGUUUCUCAGUUGACAUUGGCGCCGACGAUCCUUAGUUCGUUUUAUAAUUAUUCUUUUAUUUUGUAAUAAGUCUUCCGCUAUGUAAUAAAUACUCU